AGUAAAGCCACACACCGACACCAGGGAGCAGCCAGCGCCGCGCACUCACUGGUAGACGCCGUUGUAGACGAGGAACUGCGUGAUGAGCGUGGCGAGGACGGCGAUGGUGAGCCCCAGGCCCAGGCCGCUCCGGGAGCGGUCGAAGGUC